rnacentral:rRNA from 1 species
ACCCGCUGAACUUAAGCAUAUCAAUAAGCGGAGGAAAAGAAACUAACAAGGAUUCCCCUAGUAACUGCGAGUGAAGCGGGAAAAGCUCAAAUUUAAAAUCUGGCGGUCCUUGUGGCCGUCCGAGUUGUAAUUUAGAGAAGUGUUAUCCGCGCUGGACCGUGUACAAGUCCCUUGGAAUAGGGCAUCAUAGAGGGUGAGAAUCCCGUCUUUGACACGGACUGCCAGGGCAUUGUGAUGCGCUCUCGAAGAGUCGAGUUGUUUGGGAAUGCAGCUCAAAAUGGGUGGUAAAUUCCAUCUAAAGCUAAAUAUUGGGGAGAGACCGAUAGCGAACAAGUACCGUGAGGGAAAGAUGAAAAGAACUUUGGAAAGAGAGUUAAACAGUACGUGAAAUUGCUGAAAGGGAAACGCUUGAAGUCAGUCGCGACGCUCAGGACUCAGCCUUGCUUUUGCUUGGUGUACUUCCUGUUCGUCGGGUCAGCAUCAGUUUUGGUCGAUGGAAAAAGGCUUAGAGAAUGUGGCAUCUUCGGGUGUGUUAUAGCUCUGGGUCGCAUACAUCGGCUGGGACUGAGGAACUCAGCACGCCGCAAGGCCGGGUACUUGUACCACGUACGUGCUUAGGAUGCUGGCAUAAUGGCUUUAAUCGACCCGUCUUGAAACACGG